AGUACUUAUUGAGUACACCACCCCUACUGACUUUGGGGUCACCAGGUCAAAGGUCAAGGUGCUGCGGGGGCAUUUGUCACCAUUAAUGACAGCUCUUGUUUAUAACCAAACUAAGGUAUUCUGAAUACACGUGUUCAGUCCCUAUUUACUCAUAUGCGGGCGUUUGUUUUAGAAAUAUGUAUGUAUAAAUUUGGUUAGAAAUUCUAUAAUGUUCUGAAUUUUGACACCUGUGUUCUUAAUUUUGACAUCCCAACGCUUUUUGUUAGUAAACGUAGCGUAGCUAACGAGUCCUUGCCAGAAAUCUUAAAAUAUUUUUUCUGAUAUUUAAAGCAAACAUUUACGCUGUAGUAGAUAUAGAACAAUACAGCAUAUGGUACACAGUAGCGGUCACAAUACAGAUAAAACGUUAGAUCUACUUCAGAAUUCCAGAUGUAAUAUCUCAAAAAUGUGCCAUGAUAUUUUUAGGACUUUUAUUUCACACCAAAAGGUUUGUUUGAAUUAGUGCAACCCCAAAAGUUAAACUGACCAGCCAAAUUUGUAUAAUGAAAAGGUUAAUAUUGGGCUUGGUUGUGCAUUCUAGACAUAAUGGCACACCUGGUUUCAGAAUGGCUCUAGGACUUAAGCCCUCGGCAAUUAAGACACUAGGUCCAUUUUGACAAGAAGGCACAACCAAGCUGUAUAUUAACCCAAUAAUCACGUUGAAAGAUUUUUUGUCGCUCCCUGAUAUAUUAUACAAUUAAUAAACGUUCUUUGGCGGAA
rnacentral:lncRNA from 1 species